rnacentral:rRNA from 1 species
CCUACGGGUGGCAGCAGUGAGGAAUAUUGGUCAAUGGCCGCAGGGCUGAACCAGCCAAGUCGCGUGAGGGAUGACGGUCCUAUGGAUUGUAAACCUCUUUUGUCAGGGAGCAAAGGGCGCCACGUGUGGCGCUUUGCGAGUACCUGAAGAAAAAGCAUCGGCUAACUCCGUGCCAGCAGCCGCGGUAAUACGGAGGAUGCGAGCGUUAUCCGGAUUUAUUGGGUUUAAAGGGAGCGUAGGUGGAUUGUUAAGUCAGUUGUGAAAGUUUGCGGCUCAACCGUAAAAUUGCAGUUGAAACUGGCAGUCUUGAGUACAGUAGAGGUGGGCGGAAUUCGUGGUGUAGCGGUGAAAUGCUUAGAUAUCACGAAGAACUCCGAUUGCGAAGGCAGUUCACUGGACUGCAACUGACACUGAGGCUCGAAAGUGUGGGUAUCAAACAGGAUUAGAUACCCGUGUAGUC